rnacentral:rRNA from 1 species
CCUACGGGCGUCAGCAGUAGGGAAUCUUCCACAAUGGGCGAAAGCCUGAUGGAGCAACGCCGCGUGGGUGAAGAAGGUCUUCGGAUCGUAAAACCCUGUUGUUAGAGAAGAAAGAGCGUGAGAGUAACUGUUCACGUUUCGACUGUAUCUAACAAGAAAGCCACGGCUAACUACGUGCCAGCAGCCGCGGUAAUACGUAGGUGGCAAGCGUUAUCCGGAUUUAUUGGGCGUAAAGGGAACGCAGGCGGUCUUUUAAGUCUGAUGUGAAAGCCUUCGGCUUAACCGGAGUAGUGCAUUGGAAACUGGGAGACGUGAGUGCAGAAGAGGAGAGUGGAACUCCAGGUGUAGCGGUGAAAUGCGUAGAUAUAUGGAAGAACACCAGUGGCGAAAGCGGCUCUCUGGUCUGUAACUGACGCUGAGGUUCGAAAGCGUGGGUAGCAAACAGGAUUAGAUACCCGGGUAGUC